AUGGACAGAUUUCUGCUGAAACGAACGGCACCAGAGACUGAUCUGGCAGGGACUUCAAGGCCAGUUAGACUAAGGCAAGAUCAUGCAUCAAAUAUUGGUACUACUACCACAGCAGAUAUUAAUUUGGAUGAACUUCCUUUUGAUCCGGCCAAUCGAAAAAGAAUACCACAGUACACUAAGAAUCCAAAGAAGCAAGAUGAGAUCAGAAGAAUAUAUUUAACUAGAGGACCUUAUAGGCCAAAAGAAGGCUUUGUAUAUCCGCAGAAGACCAUCGGAGGAUUCGAAAGAAGAUUCAAGCCAGAAUGGUUUAAAGAUUAUCAUUGGCUAGAGUACAGUGAUAAAGUGCAUAAGGCAUUUUGCCAAUGUUGCUAUUUCUUCAGAGAUUGCAUCGACGAUCAAGGUGGGAAUGAUGCAUUUGUUGUCAAUGGUUUCUCUAGUUGGAAUAAGAAAUACAGAUUGGAUACUCAUGUGGGUGAGGUUAAUAGCUAUCACAAUGUAGCUGUUAAAAGGUGUGAUGCCUUGAUGAAUCAAGAUCAGUCCAUUAAAGUUGCCCUCAACAAGCAAACUGAUAUCACAAAAAGGCAAAAUCGUAUUCGGUUGAAUACUUCCGUCGAAUCUGUUAGAUACUUAUUACAUCAAGGUUUAGCUUUCCGUGGCAAUGAUGAAUCAGAGGAAUCCAAAAAUAAGGGGAAUUUUCCAGAGUUGGUACAAACAUUAGCAAAUCAGAAUGAGGAUGUGAGGAAUGUAGUUCUUAAGAAUGCUCCAAAAAAUUGCAAAUGGGUGUCUCCAGAUAUUCAAAAGGAACUUGCAAAUUAUUUUGCAAAGAUAACAUUGAAUUCUAUUCUUGAAGAAAUUGGUGGUGAUGUUUUCAGUUUGUUGAUUGAUGAGGCUUCCGAUGUGUCAGACAAAGAACAAAUGGCUGUUGUGUUGAGGUAUGUUGAUAAGCUUGGGUUAAUCCUAGAACGACUAGUUGGGGUAGUACAUGUGAAGGAAACAUCGGCAACGUGUCUCAAGUCAGCCCUUGAGAAAUUGCUUGUUGAUAUUGGAUUAAGCUUCAAACAAGUUAGAGGGCAAUGCUAUGACGGGGCGAGCAAUAUGAGGGGUGAGUUCAAUGGUUUGAAAGCUAAAAUUCUGGAAGAGAAUAAGUCAGCAUAUUACGUGCAUUGUUUUGCUCACCAACUCCAAUUGGUUAUCAUAGCAAUUUCAAAGAAGAAUGAAGAUAUUGCAGAUUUCUUUUACAUGAUUUCUCUUCUGUUUAAUGUGGUUGGAGCUUCUUGCAAAAGAAAAGACAUGAUCAGAGAGACUAAUAGAGAGAAUGUGAAAAAAGCCAUAAGUAGUGGGCGAAUUAGUACCGGCACAGGGUUGAAUCAAGAUCAAUCACUUCAAAGGACGGGAGACACCCGUUGGGGUUCUCACUAUAGAACCCUCUCAAGCCUAAUUCAGUUGUUCCCAUCAAUUGUCAGUGUCCUCAAGUAUGUACCAAAAGAAGGCAAGAAAGAUUCCAAGAAAAGUGAAGCACGUGGUCUUCUAUCAUAUUUUGGAACCUUUGAUUUUGUGUUCUAUUUGCACAUGAUGUUCCAUAUAUUAGGGAGUGCCAACACUCUAUCACAAGCAUUGCAACAAAAGGAUCAAGAUAUCUUGAAUGCAAUGUCAUGUGUGAAGUCAACAAGGAAUGAUCUACAACAACUAAGAGAUAAUGGGUGGGAAUCACUUUUGGAGAAGGUAUAUGCAUUCUGUGAAGAACAUGACAUUCCAAAGCUAAGCAUGCAAGAUGAAUAUGGCAAUCGACAUAAUACACGAAAAAGAACCAAUAUAACAAACCUGCAUCAUUAUCAAAUAGAGUGUCUUAACACUGUUAUUGAUUGGCAACUUCGAGAGUUUGAUGACAGAUUCAAUGAAGUAAAUUCUGCAUUGCUUAUUCACAUGGCUUCUUUCAACCCAAAAAACUCUUUCGCUGCUUUUAACUUGGAGAGUUUGUUGAAGCUAGCUGAGUUUUAUCCUGAGGAUUUUGAUUCAUCAAAAUUGAUGGAUCUUGGACAUGAACUUCGGAUUUACAUUGACAAUGUCCGAGCAGACCAAAGAUUUGCCAAUUUGGAUGGCAUUGCGGAUCUUGCUAAAAAGUUGGUGGAUACUAAGAAGCAUCUUGCUUUCCCUUUGGUGUAUCAACUUCUAAAGCUAGUGCUAAUUUUGCCGGUUGUCACAACGUCAGUGGAGAGAUGCUUUUCAGCAAUGAAUAUUGUGAAGAGUGUUUUACGCAACAAAAUGGGUGACCAGUUCAUGAGUGAUUGCUUGAUUUGCUAUGUGGAGAAAGAUAUAUUUGCUACCAUUACAAAUGACGCCGUAAUUGAUCUAUUUAAGAAGAUGGGAGAUCGAGAAGGCAAGUUAUAA
rnacentral:rRNA from 1 species